UAAGGAUAAUAAAAACAUAAGCGGAAUUAGAGCUACCUUAUCUUUUGCCAAAGCUGUUACAAAAUAUGCAGCAAACUAUUGUUACGAGGCUGUGAAGAAGCAUGUGAAGAAGCAUAAACACUCAUGGUUACCGAAGUCCAAAGGUGAGAACACUCACACAUUGUCAGACAACUUGGGUGAAGCUUCUGGAUCAUCUGGGACAUGGUUUUUACCUCUUUCAAGUGAAGAGCGCUUACAGAUAGAAUCUAUUAAUGACGAUGCUGAAUAUAUUUCUAGCA
rnacentral:sRNA from 1 species